rnacentral:rRNA from 1 species
UACGGAGGGUGCAAGCGUUAUCCGGAUUCACUGGGUUUAAAGGGUGCGUAGGCGGAUAUGUAAGUCCGUGGUGAAAUCUCUGGGCUUAACCCGGAAACUGCCAUGGAUACUAUGUGUCUUGAAUGUUGUUGAGGUGAGCGGAAUAUGUCAUGUAGCGGUGAAAUGCUUAGAUAUGACAUAGAACACCAAUGGCGAAGGCAGCUCGCUGGGACGGUUACUGACGCUGAGACGCGAAAGCGUGGGGAGCAAACAGG